UAUCCUCGAACCCGACGAUCCCUCUCGAAAAAUCACGGACGCGGAGCUUAGGGGUUGCGGGCACGUCCUCACGGAAAACGGUCGACUCUCCUGAAACGCAUCAGCGGAGGAGGAUGGCAUCGCGAUCGAGCGUGACCUUUCCCCUCGACGUCGUAAGGAUCGUCGUGGGACACGGGAUCGCGAGCGAUGGCGUCCGCCUCGGGCUUUCUUCCGGUCGUCGACCGGCGUCUCAGG
rnacentral:misc_RNA from 1 species